GACGAACGCUGGCGGCGUGCUUAACACAUGCAAGUCGAACGGAAAGGCCCUGCUUGCAGGGUACUCGCGUGGCGAACGGGUGAGUAACACGUGGGUGAUCUGCCCUGCACUUCGGGAUAAGCCUGGGAAACUGGGUCUAAUACCGGAUAGGAGCCAUUUUUAGUGUGAUGGUUGGAAAGUUUUUUCGGUGUAGGAUGAGCUCGCGGCCUAUCAGCUUGUUGGUGGGGUAAUGGCCUACCAAGGCGGCGACGGGUAGCCGGCCUGAGAGGGUGGACGGCCACACUGGGACUGAGAGACGGCCCAGACUCCUACGGGAGGCAGCAGGGGGGAAUAUUGCACAAUGGGCGCAAGCCUGAUGCAGCGACGCCGCGUGGGGGAUGACGGCCUUCGGGUUGUAAACUCCUUUCGCUAGGGACGAAGCUUUUUGUGACGGUACCUAGAGAAGAAGCACCGGCUAACUACGUG
rnacentral:rRNA from 1 species